UACAGAGGUCCCAAGCGUUGUUCGGAUUCACUGGGCGUAAAGGGUGCGUAGGUGGCGGGGUAAGUCGGAUGUGAAAUCUCCGAGCUCAACUCGGAAAUUGCAUUGGAAACUACUCUGCUCGAGGGUUGGAGGGGGGACUGGAAUACUUGGUGUAGCAGUGAAAUGCGUAGAUAUCAAGUGGAACACCAGUGGCGAAGGCGGCCUUCUGGACGGUGACUGACGCUGAGGCGCGAAAGCGUGGGGAGCAAACGGG
rnacentral:rRNA from 1 species